UACGUGAGCUGGGUUUAGAACGUCGUGAGACAGUUCGGUCCCUAUCUGCCGUGGGUGUUCGAGACUUGAGAGGAGCUGCCCCUAGUACGAGAGGACCGGGGUGGACGUACCUCUGGUGUACCGGUUGUGGCGCCAGCCGCACCGCCGGGUAGCCAAGUACGGAAGGGAUAACCGCUGAAGGCAUCUAAGCGGGAAGCCCCCCUCGAAACGAGGUCUCGCCUGAGAGUCGUGGAAGACCACCACGUCGAUAGGCCAGGUGUGGAAGCGCAGCAAUGUGUGAAGCUAACUGGUACUAAUCACUCGAUCGGCUUGAUUUCAAGAU
rnacentral:rRNA from 1 species